GCGGUACCGGUUCACGUCCGCGGCGCGCAGCGCCGCAGGCGACCCGGCGACC
rnacentral:ncRNA from 1 species